GGUGAUAGGACUUUACAUGCCGAUGAGAUUUUGAAAGAUGGCUUUUGCUUAAACAUGAUAGAUACCCCUCUUUGCCCUUUGAAGGUUGUGACCAAUUUGCAAGAGGCUGUGUGGGAUGCUGAUAUUGUCAUUAAUGCAUUGCCAUCAACUGAAACCCGUGAGGUGUUUGAGGAAAUUAGCAGGUAUUGGAAGGAGAGGAUCACAGUACCAGUUAUUAUCUCUUUGGCAAAGGGCGUAGAGGCUGAGUUGGAGCCUGAGCC
rnacentral:misc_RNA from 1 species